GGGAUUACAGGCGUGAGCAUGACUUGUGGACUCCCCCCAUUUAGCCCUCACUGUAACCCCCAUGUUAUGGAUUGAAUGUUAGAGUCCCCUGAAGAUUCAUAUGAUGAAAACUAAUACCCAACGUGAGAAUAUUAAGAGGUAGCGUGUCUGUUGAGCAGUCUAGGGAUGGAUGGAUGGAUGGACAGAUGGAGAUAUAACGAUAGAUAGAUAGAUAGAUAGAUAGAUAGAUAGAUAGAUAGACAAUAGAUAGUAAAUAGGUAGGACUUUUGGGACAUGAUCACAUCAUGAGGGCUUCAUCCUUGUGAAUGGGAUUCAUGCCCUUAUUUUAUUUAUUUUUUAUUUAUUUUUUUUUUGAGAUGGAGUUUUGCUCUUGUGUUCACUAGGCAAAUGCAGGAAGAAAGAACAACAUUUUAUUAAUAUGUGGAGCCAAUGGCCUGUGCAAAAGUCCUGUAGUGGGGUGGAGGAAGGAAGGGCUGAAGGAACUGGGUGAUGAGCUGGACCUGGAAUGCAGACUAACUGGGGAGGGUGGAGGGUACGAGGUAGACAGGGACCACCCCAUCAGGAAACUUCUAGUUGUUUUUUUUUUUUUUUUUUGAGACAGGAUCUCACUCUAUCGCCCAGGUUGGAGUGCAGUGGUGCAAUCUUGGCUCACUGCAACCUCCACCUCCCGGGUUCAAGCGAUUCUCCUGACUCAAGCCUCCUGAGCAGCUGGGAUUACAGACAUGUGCCACCACACCCAGCUAACUUUUAUGGAUUGGGGACCCAGUUAGCAAUCACCUGUGAGAGAGACCAGGACUGGAGCGGCUUGGACCAGGAUACUCCUAUCAUCGACCUCCUCCCACAGCAAGGAAGAAGCAGAGUUGAGUAACGGACAUUUACGUUGCUCUGAUUCUCUGCCAUCCCAAGCAGCACCAUGAGGAACAGCGCUAUGCAGGACCUUCUGCGGAUGCACCUGUGCCAGUCUGUCUGGCUGGGGCCUGCACACUCCGAGAAAGGACUGUGCACUCUGAGGAAGGACUGCGCAGUCUGAGGAAGGGCUGAGCACUCUUGUGGAAGUACCGCCCACUCUGAGGAAGGACCGUGCACUCUGAGGAAGGACUGCGCAGUCUGAGGAAAGGCUGCGCACUCUCGUGGAAGUACCGCCCACUCUGAGGAAGGACUGCUAGGUUGUCUCUCUGGAAAGUUUUCUGUUGCCCAUGCGGAGAAUAUUCAAGUUUUGUUUCGGCCUUCCAGAAUUUCCCUCCUGUUUGGGGGGGAUCAUCCUCCACUCCGUUAUACAGCCUCGGAGGCAGACACCACUCGUCAUCGGAUGUCAAACCAAAGCUCCCCCAGGCUUAGCAGGUGUGGGUGCAGGAGGGUGCGGGAGUCAGAUCUCCAUCUAUCUGGUCUCGCCUUGUUUCUAGUCCUUUGCAGGGGUGUUCUUCCAGCAUCCUCCAAUCCAUCCGGGACUGUCCAUCUUGAGUGACACAAAAGAGUGGGGCAGGACAGCCUGGCCGACUGUCCCUCCGAGACCAGACACGGGGUGUGUGUGUGUGUGUGUGUGUGUGUGUGUGUGUGUUGGAGGGGUCCCCAAAGGGGCACAGAAGUCCCGGGAGGCUUUUCAGAAGAGAAGAGAUGGAGCCUGAAUGGGCAAAAGCAGCAGCUGUGCUGUUAGGAGCUGGAGUGAAUACUGUGAGCCCAGACACCUGGGAUGAGAUCCACAGAUGUGGCCCGGUCCCUUACUCUUUUGGUGCCUCAGUUUCCCCAUCUGUACCAUGGGGAUAACAACAGUGCAUGCCUCAUCGGUUGGUUAUGAUGAUAAACAAACUGGAUUUUAAAAAGGUCUGGCCCAGCAGACUCACUCUGUGUUUGCUGUUAUCAGAACCCUGUCCUCAGACCCUGGCCUGACACCACCUCAUACUCCCUCUCAUGCCUCUUAGUCACUUCCUGAAAGUCUGCAGCAGACGACACGGCUUCUCCCAGCCCGUCUUCUUCCCCACACGGUGGGCAUGGUAACGUCCUUAACAUGCACCUGUCAGUGUGAAAGCAGCAGGCUGAGAUCACACACCAAGUUCCCUAGAGUCGGGGUUUCAGCAUGUUAGCCGAGCUGGUCUUGAACUCCUGAGCUCAAGUGAUCCACCCACCCGAGCCUCCUAAAGUGUUGCGAUUACAGAGGCUACAGAUUUCCUCUCUGGAGAGAAGGAACCGGGGUUGCUCGCUGAGCUGACAAGAGGUGGCAUCCUGGAAAGAUGCAGCUGGCCAAAGCCUGCCCUCCAUACGGAGUCCCCCCCUCGGCCAAUGGCUCCAGCUAAAGGUGAGAGAAUUCCUUGCGUGGCAGAAUGGGCCACCCAAGACCUACCAACACUGACACUCAGGACCCCAGUCAAACAGAGUGGCCUUAGCAAGGGAGGUGGGUGCCAUUAUCAUCACUUGCGGAUGUGGAACUCAUGCCCAGAGGGUAUGACCAACCUGUAGGUUCCCAGCCAGGAAGCUGAAGGGCUCAGAUGCGAACCUGACUCAGUGUGGCACUCGGCAGGUCCCUUCCAGGAGCCUCAUCCCUGCCUCCGUAGGAUGGAGGUGGGGACAGCCCUCCUGAGGACACAUUUCCUGCACUGCCUCCCACAGCUGUGCCCAGACUCCCAGAGCCUCUCUCAUGCCAAGAGAGUCUGUGGUGGGAGCCAAGACAGCUGACCCCAGAAGCCCCGGGCACCCCAGACGCUCGGCCCUGGGAGGGUGGCUGUGCCGGACAGACUCCAGACAGAGCUCAGACUCCGGGUCUACACACAGUGACUUUAUUACUCUAUGGAUGCUGGUGAACUGCCCUCCCCAACCAGCUUCACGGGGGCAGGCAUCUCUGUCCAUCCCAUGCC
rnacentral:lncRNA from 1 species